rnacentral:rRNA from 1 species
GACGAACGCUGGCGGCGUGCUUAACACAUGCAAGUCGAACGGUAAGGCCCUUCGGGGUACACGAGUGGCGAACGGGUGAGUAACACGUGGGUGAUCUGCCCUGCACUUCGGGAUAAGCCUGGGAAACUGGGUCUAAUACCGGAUAGGACUCCUGGCUUCAUGGUUGGGGGUGGAAAGCUUUUGCGGUGUGGGAUGGGCCCGCGGCCUAUCAGCUUGUUGGUGGGGUAAUGGCCUACCAAGGCGACGACGGGUAGCCGGCCUGAGAGGGUAACCGGUACCACUGGGACUGAGAUACGGCCCAGACUCCUACGGGAGGCAGCAGUGGGGAAUAUUGCACAAUGGGCGAAAGCCUGAUGCAGCGACGCCGCGUGAGGGAUGACGGCCUUCGGGUUGUAAACCUCUUUCAGCUAUGACGAAGCGCAAGUGACGGUAGUAGCAGAAGAAGGACCGGCCAACUACGUGCCAGCCGCCGCAGUAA